AAUUGACGGGGACCCGCACAAGCGGUGGAUGAUGUGGUUUAAUUCGAUGCAACGCGAAAACCUUACCCACCUUUGACAUGGCAGGAAUCCUAAAGAGUAUUUUGGAGUGCUCGAAAGAGAACCUGCACACAGGUGCUGCAUGGCUGUCGUCAGCUCGUGUCGUGAGAUGUUGGGUUAAGUCCCGCAACGAGCGCAACCCUUGCCAUUAGUUGCUACGAGAGGGCACUCUAAUGGGACUGCCGGUGACAAACCGGAGGAAGGUGGGGAUGACGUCAAGUCCUCAUGGCCCUUAUAGGUGGGGCUACACACGUCAUACAAUGGCCGGUACAGAGGGUAGCCAACCCGCGAGGGGGAGCCAAUCCCACAAAGCCGGUCGUAGUCCGGAUCGCAGUCUGCAACUCGACUGCGUGAAGUCGGAAUCGCUAGUAAUCGCGGAUCAGCAUGUCGCGGUGAAUACGUUCCCGGGUCUU
rnacentral:rRNA from 1 species